rnacentral:rRNA from 1 species
GGGGAAGAUUGGGCAAUGGGCGCAAGCCUGACCCAGCGACGCCGCGUGGGGGAGGAAGUCUUUCGGGACGUAAACCCACGUUGUACGGGACGAAGGAAGUGACGGUACCGUACGAGGAAGCCCCGGCAAACUACGUGCCAGCAGACGCGGUAAUACGUAGGGGGCGAGCGUUGUCCGGAAUCACUGGGCGUAAAGCGCACGUAGGCGGGCUGUUAAGUCGGCCGUGAAAUACACUGGCUCAACCGGUGCAGGUCGGUCGAUACUGGCGGUCUGGAGUAUGGGAGAGGGAACUGGAAUUCCCGGGGUAGCGGUGAAAUGCGUAGAUAUCGGGAGGAACACCAGUGGCGAAGGCGGGUUCCUUGCCCAUGACUGACGCUGAGGUGCGAAAGCCGGGGG